rnacentral:rRNA from 1 species
UAGGGAAUAUUGGGCAAUGGACGAAAGUCUGACCCAGCCAUGCCGCGUGCAGGAUGAAGGCGCUCAGCGUUGUAAACUGCUUUUGAUAGGGAAGAACGGCCUUCUUGCGAGAAGGUGUGACGGUACCUACAGAAUAAGCACCGGCUAACUCCGUGCCAGCAGCCGCGGUAAUACGGAGGGUGCAAGCGUUGUCCGGAUUUAUUGGGUUUAAAGGGUGCGUAGGUGGCUUUUUAAGUCUGACCUGAAAGUGGGCCGCUUAACGGCACAGGGUGGUUGGAUACUGAAGAGCUUGAAGAGGGUGGAGGCCGCCGGAACGGAUCGUGUAGCGGUGAAAUGCAUAGAGAUGAUCCAGAACCCCGAUUGCGUAGGCAGGCGGCUACGCCCCACUUGACACUGAGGC